AGCGAACGCUGGCGGCAGGCCUAACACAUGCAAGUCGAACGAACCCUUCGGGGUUAGUGUCGGACGGGUGAGUAACACGUGGGAACGUGCCUUUAGGUUCGGAAUAACUCAGGGAAACUUGUGCUAAUACCGAAUGUGCCCUUCGGGGGAAAGAUUUAUCGCCUUUAGAGCGGCCCGCGUCUGAUUAGCUAGUUGGUGAGGUAAUGGCUCACCAAGGCUACGAUCAGUAGCUGGUCUGAGAGGAUGACCAGCCACAUUGGGACUGAGACACGGCCCAAACUCCUACGGGAGGCAGCAGUGGGGAAUCUUGCGCAAUGGGCGAAAGCCUGACGCAGCCAUGCCGCGUGGAUGAUGAAGGUCUUAGGAUUGUAAAAUCCUUUCACCGGUGAAGAUAAUGACUGUAGCUGGAGAAGAAGCCCCGGCUAACUUCGUGCCAACAGCCGCCGCAGUAA
rnacentral:rRNA from 1 species